UACGUAGGGUGCGAGCGUUGUCCGGAAUUAUUGGGCGUAAAGAGCUUGUAGGCGGUUUGUCGCGUCUGCUGUGAAAAUCCGGGGCUCAACCCCGGACUUGCAGUGGGUACGGGCAGACUAGAGUGUGGUAGGGGAGACUGGAAUUCCUGGUGUAGCGGUGAAAUGCGCAGAUAUCAGGAGGAACACCGGUGGCGAAGGCAGGUCUCUGGGCAUUAACUGACGCUGAGGAGCGAAAGCAUGGGGAGCGAACAGG
rnacentral:rRNA from 1 species